rnacentral:rRNA from 1 species
GGGUUGUGAGGUUAAGCGACUAAGCGUACACGGUGGAUGCCCUGGCAGUCAGAGGCGAUGAAGGACGUGCUAAUCUGCGAUAAGCGUCGGUAAGGUGAUAUGAACCGUUAUAACCGGCGAUUUCCGAAUGGGGAAACCCAGUGUGUUUCGACACACUAUCAUUAACUGAAUCCAUAGGUUAAUGAGGCGAACCGGGGGAACUGAAACAUCUAAGUACCCCGAGGAAAAGAAAUCAACCGAGAUUCCCCCAGUAGCGGCGAGCGAACGGGGAGCAGCCCAGAGCCUGAAUCAGUGUGUGUGUUAGUGGAAGCGUCUGGAAAGGCGCGCGAUACAGGGUGACAGCCCCGUACACAAAAAUGCACAUGCUGUGAGCUCGAUGAGUAGGGCGGGACACGUGGUAUCCUGUCUGAAUAUGGGGGGACCAUCCUCCAAGGCUAAAUACUCCUGACUGACCGAUAGUGAACCAGUACCGUGAGGGAAAGGCGAAAAGAACCCCGGCGAGGGGAGUGAAAAAGAACCUGAAACCGUGUACGUACAAGCAGUGGGAGCACGCUUAGGCGUGUGACUGCGUACCUUUUGUAUAAUGGGUCAGCGACUUAUAUUCUGUAGCAAGGUUAACCGAAUAGGGGAGCCGAAGGGAAACCGAGUCUUAACUGGGCGUUAAGUUGCAGGGUAUAGACCCGAAACCCGGUGAUCUAGCCAUGGGCAGGUUGAAGGUUGGGUAACACUAACUGGAGGACCGAACCGACUAAUGUUGAAAAAUUAGCGGAUGACUUGUGGCUGGGGGUGAAAGGCCAAUCAAACCGGGAGAUAGCUGGUUCUCCCCGAAAGCUAUUUAGGUAGCGCCUCGUGAAUUCAUCUCCGGGGUAGAGCACUGUUUCGGCAAGGGGGUCAUCCCGACUUACCAACCCGAUGCAAACUGCGAAUACCGGAGAAUGUUAUCACGGGAGACACACGGCGGGUGCUAACGUCCGUCGUGAAGAGGGAAACAACCCAGACCGCCAGCUAAGGUCCCAAAGUCAUGGUUAAGUGGGGAAACGAUGUGGGAAGGCCCAGACAGCCGGGAUGUUGGCUUAGAAGCAGCCAUCAUUUAAAAGAAAGCGUAAUAGCUCACUGGUCGAGUCGGCCUGCGCGGAAGAUGUAACGGGGCUAAACCAUGCACCGAAGCUGCGGCAGCGACGCUUAUGCGUUGUUGGGUAGGGGAGCGUUCUGUAAGCCUGUGAAGGUGUGCUGUGAGGCAUGCUGGAGGUAUCAGAAGUGCGAAUGCUGACAUAAGUAACGAUAAAGCGGGUGAAAAGCCCGCUCGCCGGAAGACCAAGGGUUCCUGUCCAACGUUAAUCGGGGCAGGGUGAGUCGACCCCUAAGGCGAGGCCGAAAGGCGUAGUCGAUGGGAAACAGGUUAAUAUUCCUGUACUUGGUGUUACUGCGAAGGGGGGACGGAGAAGGCUAUGUUGGCCGGGCGACGGUUGUCCCGGUUUAAGCGUGUAGGCUGGUUUUCCAGGCAAAUCCGGAAAAUCAAGGCUGAGGCGUGAUGACGAGGCACUACGGUGCUGAAGCAACAAAUGCCCUGCUUCCAGGAAAAGCCUCUAAGCAUCAGGUAACAUCAAAUCGUACCCCAAACCGACACAGGUGGUCAGGUAGAGAAUACCAAGGCGCUUGAGAGAACUCGGGUGAAGGAACUAGGCAAAAUGGUGCCGUAACUUCGGGAGAAGGCACGCUGAUAUGUAGGUGAAGUCCCUUGCGGAUGGAGCUGAAAUCAGUCGAAGAUACCAGCUGGCUGCAACUGUUUAUUAAAAACACAGCACUGUGCAAACACGAAAGUGGACGUAUACGGUGUGACGCCUGCCCGGUGCCGGAAGGUUAAUUGAUGGGGUCAGCGCAAGCGAAGCUCUUGAUCGAAGCCCCGGUAAACGGCGGCCGUAACUAUAACGGUCCUAAGGUAGCGAAAUUCCUUGUCGGGUAAGUUCCGACCUGCACGAAUGGCGUAAUGAUGGCCAGGCUGUCUCCACCCGAGACUCAGUGAAAUUGAACUCGCUGUGAAGAUGCAGUGUACCCGCGGCAAGACGGAAAGACCCCGUGAACCUUUACUAUAGCUUGACACUGAACAUUGAGCCUUGAUGUGUAGGAUAGGUGGGAGGCUUUGAAGUGUGGACGCCAGUCUGCAUGGAGCCGACCUGAAAUACCACCCUUUAAUGUUUGAUGUUCUAACGUUGACCCCUAAUCGGGGUUGCGGACAGUGUCUGGUGGGUAGUUUGACUGGGGCGGUCUCCUCCUAAAGAGUAACGGAGGAGCACGAAGGUUGGCUAAUCCUGGUCGGACAUCAGGAGGUUAGUGCAAUGGCAUAAGCCAGCUUGACUGCGAGCGUGACGGCGCGAGCAGGUGCGAAAGCAGGUCAUAGUGAUCCGGUGGUUCUGAAUGGAAGGGCCAUCGCUCAACGGAUAAAAGGUACUCCGGGGAUAACAGGCUGAUACCGCCCAAGAGUUCAUAUCGACGGCGGUGUUUGGCACCUCGAUGUCGGCUCAUCACAUCCUGGGGCUGAAGUAGGUCCCAAGGGUAUGGCUGUUCGCCAUUUAAAGUGGUACGCGAGCUGGGUUUUAGAACGUCGUGAGACAGUUCGGUCCCCUAUCUGCCGUGGGCGCUGGAGAACUGAGGGGCUGCUCCUAGUACGAGAGGACCGGAGUGGACGCAUCACUGGUGUUCGGGUUGUCAUGCCAAUGGCACUGCCCGGUAGCUAAAUGCGGAAGAGAUAAGUGCUGAAAGCAUCUAAGCACGAAACUUGCCCCGAGAUGAGUUCUCCCUGACCCUUUAAGGGUCCUGAAGGAACGUUGAAGACGACGACGUUGAUAGGCCGGGUGUGUAAGCGCAGCGAUGCGUUGAGCUAACCGGUACUAAUGAACCGUGAGGCUUAACCUUACAACGCCGAAGCUGUU